ensembl:lncRNA
CUCCCAGCAUCAGAGUCUUUUCCAGUGAGUCAACUCUUCUCAUGAAGACUAUAAUAUAGACCUGUUUGAAUAUAAUUGCUUUCUAUUUUUUUCAUUUCAUGAACUUAUUCAGGAAGUGUCAAUAUUUAUUUAGCUUUUAAGUACAAAACACUGUGCUGGCACUGGAGAGGAAUACAGAAGUGAAAACUGAGUGAACUGCUACUAAGAAAAAAGAGGAUGAAAUUGUCACUGCUGACAAGGGGCCUGGAUUGGAUCCCAAGUCAAGGAAUUAGAUCCACACGCCACAACUUAAGAGCUCCCAUGCUACAACUAAUGAUCUCACAUACUGCAACUAAGACCUGGCACAGCCAAAUAAAUAAAUGAAUGAAUAUUAAAGCAGAUGUUUGGUGGCUCAGUGGUAAAGAAUUCACCUACAAUGAAGGAGACAUGGAUGAUGUGAAUUCCAUCCCUGGGUCAGGAGGAACCCCUGGAAGAGGAAAUGGCAACUCACUGCAGUAUUAUUGCCUGAGAAAUCCCAUGGACAGAAGAGCCUGGCUUGCUCCAGUUCAUGAAGGUCACAAAGAGCUGAACACGAUUGAGCAACUGAGCACACACAUGCAUAUUAAUAAUAAUUUAUUAUAAUUAAUAAAUCACCUAGAGAUUAUUUAAAUUUCUUUGCUUUACUUUCUACCUUGAAUUCAUCCAUUUGCCUCAAUUACACAAUAAAGUUACUAGAAAUUCAUUCUUUUGUAAUGUUACCAAUAUAAAAUAUGGUUAGGUUCAUUUGUUUCCACUUGUGUUCAAUUAGUGGCAAUAUUCUAUAUCUAAAUUAUUAUUUUUUUUAUUUUUAAACUUUACAUAAUUGUAUUAGUUCUAUAAAGCUCAACAUUCAAGAAACG